AAGAAAUUAGUUUAAAUAAAACAUUAGACUGUCAGACUAAAAAUAUUACUCAUAAUAUUUCUUA
rnacentral:tRNA from 1 species